AAGAAAUUAGUUAAAGGAUAACAUUAAUAUGUCAUAUUAAAAUUAUUAUAUUAAAUAAUAUUUCUUA
rnacentral:tRNA from 1 species